rnacentral:misc_RNA from 1 species
UUAAGUUCAGCGGGUAGUCCUACCUGAUUUGAGAUCAAACGUUCAAAAAGCUGUCCUCGCUCAGGAGAGACGUUUGUGAGCUCCAGCGAACCCCCAUCGCUGGAGGUUGCCUGGCGGAAGUCCACAAGCGUAGAUAGUUAUCACACCUGUGACGCCGCCAAACGCUGGCAAGCUGAUUCGUUUGAGAGGAGCCGACGGUA